CUCCCAGCCCUCUCAAGCCACUAGCCCAGACAGUGAAGCCAUAGAAGCGACCUCUGCUGCACAUUUUUCAAGCCUCCCUACUCCAUCCCGAAGGCUCUCUCAGCGGUGGCGGGAUGCAAUGCUGGAGCUGCUGCGUGAUCAAACUGACAUCCUCCGACGUCUGGUGGAUCUUCAGGAAGAGCAGAGGGGUCACAGAGUGCCGCUGCAGCCCCUGUGUAACCACCCUCACCACUCACCAUGUUCCAUAUCUUCCUCACCCAGACAUGUAAGAACGCGUGGGGGAAGGCUUCAUGCACCCUCCUACUCCACCCCAGUGGACAGCCCAACCAAAAGGCUGUCAUUACAUUGAAAUGUAUUUAAUGGCCUUUUCCUUCCCUCCUAUGCUCCUCCCAAACCACACCUGGGAUACCUUGUCAGUUCUCUGCCUCUUUUUAUAAUUACUUUUUAAUAAAGAAUACAUGAUUUUUAAACGAUAGUGACUUUAUUUCCUUAAGCAAGCUGUAAUCGAAGGGGGAGGGUGGGUUGCUUACAGGGAAGGAGUCAAUAAAGGGGGGGCGUUCAUGAAGGGGAAACAAACACAGCAGUCACACCGUACCCUGGCCCAUGA